rnacentral:lncRNA from 1 species
AAUAUCUUCUUCUUACGGAGUCGCAAGGAAAGAAAUUUCAAAACUUUUCUUUCAAUUCACGGUAUUGAUGGAUUUGGAUUCCUAUCAUUAUGCAUCGAAUACCGAAAUUCUUAAUUCAUAGGUCAGAACAAAGAAAAACCCGAAUGAAAUCCAGCUCCAAUUCCGGCGGAAGUCGCCGCCAAGCCGCCUCCAAGCAGAAGCUGCCGAGACUCGAGCGUCGGAACGCNAUGAAAUCCAGCUCCAAUUCCGGCGGAAGUCGCCGCCAAGCCGCCUCCAAGCAGAAGCUGCCGAGACUCGAGCGUCGGAACGCCAAUAAUAACAUCAAUUACGAGUUAUAUCCCUCUACGCCCUCAACAUCGUCUUCAUCAUACUA